UGUGUGUUAGAAGUGGGGCGUUAUUGUUUGCAUUUCAUUUCAUAACUCGCAUGAUUUGCCUAAGCUAGGAUCAUAGAAUAAAGAUGAAGCAGAAUCAGAACUUACUUCCCAAUAGUUUUUCAGUCACUGAUCCUGGGGAAAGAAGCCUGCAGUAUACAAAAGCAAAGUUGAAUGGCAUCCUGAUUCCUUGUUAACUUUAGAGAAAUCUAUUCCUGAUAGUAACAGCCUAUCUACAUACAUGGUUGGUGAGUAAACCAUUCAGCAGUAACAGAACUGAAACUUAGCCUGGAAGGUAUUCAUCAAAGUCAGACUGGCUUUUACACUUUGCACUGGUACCAACUUUAGAAUUCUGUAUAGAUAUCUGAUGAACCAAGGUGCCCUCUGUUGCUUUGGGGUUGGUUCCAUCUGACUGUGUCUGCUUAAGGGAUUCAAAAUUACAGUUCAUUUUAAGUGCUGUUCAGUCAAAGCUGGUAUGCUAUAGUGGCAGUCAUCUUAAGGCCAUUUCAGUUGCCUUUUUUCUCCCUAUCAUCAUCCUUGAUCUUGUUUUUCGCACAAUUGAGUAAACCUUCAAAAUUUAAAGCUUUUGCUGGCUCUGCUUGACUCAUAAUUCUGUGUUAUUUCCUCGUUCCUAUAAUGCCCCCUUUGUAUUUUGCCCCUCUUUAGGGACUUCAACCACUGUUAGGGCAACUAAGGUUUUAUAUCUCCAGCCCCCAGUCUUUCACUCGAUUGUCAUGUGCCUCCAGAUCCCAUGUAACUUGAUAUUGUUGAAAAAUAGUUAACUAGCAUGUGUUCAUUUAACAAACGCUUAGUGAGUACAUAUGUUCCCAACACUGCUGGCACUGGGGGAUUAUGGGGGUGCAUCUGGCAUAGGGAACGAAACCUUAAAGACAUAGCCAUGAUAGAGGUAUUUGGGGAGCACGUUUUGAUCCUACAGGUUGCCAUCUUAAUAGUUCUGUUGAGUUUUCUUUUCAGUUGUAUUGAUCCGUCUACAGUGUUUUUCCUUUAAUUUCUUUAGUCAUUAACCUACUAUACUAGGGUGGCAUUUCUUACUCUUACAGGAGAAUGACGUGGAACCAGUGUAGAAAAGAAAUACCAGACCAACCAUAGGAAGUAACAGCUGUACUUUAGUACUUUUUGAUUGGAAAACAUAUUAAGAUUCUAGGAAUUCAGCAAUAUUUUUAAGUGAAUUAAGUUUCAUUAAUUACAGAGCUUUUUUUUGUAUCAUUAAUGUACAAUUACUUGAACAACAUUAUGGUUAUUAGACUCCCCCUAUUAUCAAGGCUCCCCAACAUACCCCAUUACAGUCACUGUCCAUCAGCAUAGUAAGAUGCUAUAGAAUCAUAAUUACAGAGCAUUUAUACCCAAAUAAUGUUCAGUGUACUGGAAAUAUUACAGUGGGUAUUAGACAGUCUUUUAUGAAGCUAAUGUAUUAUUAAGGGAGAAAAUUCCCAUUUAGUCUGUUUUAUGCGCCCCAAAUUCCAAGAUUGUAGGUUAAGAAGCAUUGCUGUGUGCCUUAUAAAUCAAUUCCUGGAUUACUCUUCCUAGUGUUCCUACAUGAUCUCUCUUAACUACUAUACUAUUUAUCCUAUGCAGUCACCAUAAUAAUUAAUCACAUGAACACCAAUAUUCACAUUACAUCAUUGUGUCAAAACUAAAUUAUUGAAAUUUGAGACCUUUUAUGUUUCCUGGCAACUUUGCUUUCAAACCUGUUUAUUCCUUUCCCAAUCUGUGAUUGUGUUUACUCCUAUACUGUUAACCUUAGAAAGGUUACUGCCUUUGUGCACCUUGCUUUAACCUAUUACUUCCUAGCAGUUACUUUGAAAAUUAUUCCAUUUUCCUAUUUUAGGUUGGAAUGUGGUAUCAUUCAUGAAAUUGGAAUAUAUGGUUGAGCCAUCAAAAUUGCCAUAUACAAAAGGAUUUCUAGACUCUCACAGUGGCCCACUUCAAGGAGUAUUUAGAAUAACUUAAGUGGCAGUUUGACAAUACUAUUGUACUGAAACUUGUUAUUUAGAUGCUGUGGGUAACAAAAUCUGGAAAGAGAAAAUGCAGAAGGGUCAGAAUCAUUUGGAUAUGAGAGUUUUGCAGUCAUGUUUUGAGGCUGAACCUAGUAACUCAAGAGAACUUGAGAAGAUUAUCUGCUUUUUACUAUUACAGAGCAAUCUUGCUUCAUAGUUGUCAAAAUCCCACUCGGAGGUACACAGAGCAAACAGAAAAAUGGCCUAGUUGGCCAGCCCUGCUAAAAGUUGCACAGGUGGAUACCUGGAUUUUCACAUGCAGUGCCUUUCCUGAAGGCCAAGUUGCUGUGACAUUACUACUGUAUAUGUCCAUAUUGCUGUAGUCAUUCAUACUAUGGGCAGAAUUGUUUAUUUUAGUCAUGGUGAUAAACUCCCUUAUACAAAGUCUGCUUGACCUCCCACCUUAAUGACUUCAGUGCUCUCUCUGUCUCUUCCUGGGGAAAUUAACAAAAGAUUUCUUUUUACCUGGACCUUUGCCUUGCCUAGUCCAGCCCCCCUCAUAUUAGUCAAAGAAUACCUUCCUGUCAUUGAGUUCCUGGUGUGUGCCAGACACAUGAAGCUAUAGAUACUUUAUAUUAUCUUUAAUAUUCACAAUAAUUGCUGAGUAGUUAGGUAGCAGUAUUCCUAUUUCACCAAUAGGAAAACAGGCUCAGAGUGUGCUGAGUGACAGAGUUUUAGAGGUGGCUUGUGAUGUAGCAAGUAUUAGAACUGAAAUUAUGUUCAUUUUUGUUUUUCUCUAGAAAACUAUUCAGUUUUUCAGAGCUAGAGACGAAACAUUUUAGGUUAGACAUUGUGGGAAGUUUUGAAUUACAAUAUAAAAAGAACCAAAGGUUUAUUCUUCUGGAAAAUUGAAUUUAAAUUUAUAAAAUUUAACUUGAUGUGUGCUUCUGUUGUCCUGCCCUUAGUAUUGUAAAAUAUUUUCUUCUCAACAUUUUGUGAUUGAUAUAUGUUUGCUUCUUUAUGUAUGCAAAAGCUUUAGUUUUGCAGAGGAAAGAGAUAAAAUAAGUUGGUUUUAUACUUGGAGAUACAGCCUGGUUGCUUUAUCACCAAAGCAAACUUGAACAUUCAUCUCACCUGUCACUUAGCAUGCAAACACGCUAUUUAAGGGCAUACUGCCUUCCAUUUCCUUCUAAUAUCAGUAGUAACAAUUGAUGCCAGGCAAGAAGAGGGGUGCUGCCUUCUCUUUGUGUCAGCCACUACUAUGUAAAGAUAGCAUUUUAAGGAAUGUGUCUGAAGCUAUUUUAAAAGUUAUGUAUCAUUAGACACAUUGUCCAAAUUAAGAGCCAGUCAGGGAGAUCUCUGCUUUUGUUCUUGCAAAAAUAAAAGUAAUAACCAAUUUUUUAAAAAAUGUAAGGGAGUAUGUGUGUGUGUUUAAUGCUAAUGACAUUUGUUCAGGUCCUUUUCAGGUGUUCUCCUUAAUCUUCACUUCACUCUGCAGGUGAGAACACUGAGAUGCAGGAACGCUUUGUAGUAGGUCCAUGACUCAAGUACUGAAUAACUGGUCUGUUCAAAAAUAGAGCCCCUGAAUAUUGUAGAGAAAGGGUUUUUAUUUUGUUCGUUUUAAUUUUGGUAUUUUCUCUCUCCCCCUCAGCUUUCCUCUGCCACACGUUCUUGGAUUUUUUUUCCCCCCUUUAUUUUUUUCCUUUUAUUCCUUUUCAAAGGAUUUCAGCAUCCUCAGGAGCAGAAAGCUCUGGAAAUGUAUUCAUAAGUUCUAAAAAUUUUAUAAAAGACUUCAAAAUAAUUAUACAUUAUUGACCUGUGUCAUAUUAAAAAUUUUUCAUUUUGAAUUGUUAUUUAGGGGAAGGGCUAUUAAAGUGUUCUUUCUGCCCAUUUGUGAUACAUUUUAGAUCUUCCCACAUCUUUUCCUGGAUAUAUUAAUCAGGAGAUGGUGUAGAGGUUUGGUAAGUAAUAUAGUUUGAUUUUAUACAUCUCAAGGGUUUCUCAUUCAGUCACAUAGUUGAGUUUUCUUUAUUAUGGCCUUUUUCCCCCUGGUGGUUCUAUUUGCAGUAUUAACUGAAAAUAUUUGUGCUUAAUGCUAAUUUUGAUCUUUUUUUUUUCACUAGCAUGUAUUGGAGCACUCAGACUUGAAGAAGGACAUAGGUAAAAAGUAUAAUAUGGAACACUGUAACAUUAGGUUUAUGAACUCUGAGGUGCAUACUUGGCCAUAUUCAAUCUGAAAAUUAUUUACAAAACAAUUUAAGUCACAUAGGUUUUGCCAAAAGGAUCAUGAAUAUUUCAGUUCCUUUUUAUUUUUAUAAAUAUAGCAUCAACUCUCUAUUCCGUAAGUUCAAACAGGUGGUCUUGUGUUACAUUAGAAAAUUUCUUAGGAGUUUAAAGUAUUUCGUAUUUGUGUGAAACUUUACACAGGUCUUGAACUAUUUAAUUGUGACCUGAAUAACAAAUACUAAUCUAAAACAGUUUAGAUGUACCAUAAUCAGGCCUUAUUGUUGCUUUGUCCCAAAUGCUUGCUUACUUCCCCAGAACCCUCAUUGAAUAUAAAUCCCAUAUCAUGUCCCUCACUUACCUAAGUCAAGUGUGCCAAGGUGAACCCUGCGUGUCCUUACAAGUUCUUUUCUAUAACUAGAAGUCGCAGAAGACCAAAAAGCCUUGGAUGUGAUGUGAUGUAUUCCUUUUUCUGCUUCAUAAAGUUUAUAGUGCCCUUUAUCUUAAUAUAGAAACAAGAUACUUAAAUUUUAAAAAAUGAAUUUAGUUAUACCAAAAAUGAAAAAUGGUAACACUUCUGUCAAAUAAGUGUUCUUCAAAAAUUAGGUAUCUUCAGUGUUUUUUAGAGUUACUUGAAAUAUGCUUAAACUCCAUUUACUUGGGGUAAAAUGUCACAGUGAAUGAUUGAAAAGGAUUAGGUUCUAUAAAGUCAAUGAGAUCAUGAGAUUCUACAUAUGCAUAAUAUACCACCUCCUCUCUUUUACUACUUUGUUUUGGUAAGUCUUUAAGAACAAGACAGCAAUCUAGAAAAGAUUUAGAAAAGGAAUAUAUACAAAUACUGCAUAUUUUACAUCUCAUAGUAACCUAAUUUAGCAAGAUUAAAUUGGGAACUUGACUCAAGGUAUCAGGUAGAACCAUUAGCAAAUUGAAUAAUUAAAAGAAACUAGUGGAGGGAGGCAUGUGCAAGUUCAGGGCAAUCAGAAAAAAAGAUUGUAAGGCAUCUUUGAAAUUAGUUUGUUGUCAGGAAAUUCAUCUGGUAUAUAAAAAUUGUAUGUUCAGUAGAUUUUUAAGAAUUGACCUGCUUGAUACAGCAAGGAGAAGCAGUGUUAAUACAAGCCUGGCUGCUACCAUUUGUACUACCUAUGCCCCAUUCAUUUUUUAAAGUGGCAUUCCAAGUUACUUAACAGCCACUGGCAAAGCUCAUUCAGAUCAACUUUUCUUGGCAUUAGUAUUUUGAAAAAGUUCAACUUAGAUUGAAAAGGGGGAAGGUGGAAUCACCCCUCUUCCAAGUGUCCUCCAUUCAUUUUUUUCCCUGACAGUCUGCAGUUGACCAUGAUUUCUAGGCUCAUUCUUGGAACCAAAGGCAAGAAGAAAGGGAAAAGGGUGCUCAUCAGGUAAACUGUUCGUAGCCCCUUUGACACUUUGGGUGGUAAUUUACAUGAAACAUAAUGCUUCCAUUGCAGGUUUGCCUCUAGCUUCAACAGAUUUCCCUUGAAAUUUCCAGGAGCUAAUUUAGCUCAAUGUCUUUUUCAAAAAGGUAGAGGGAGAAGGAAGCCCACAAAUGUUGGGAGAAGAGAAUUUUGCAGAGAAAGUGUUUUUCUCAGAAAAAAAAAAGUUGCAGGGAAUGAAGUGGGGUCAGCAUUAGGGAAAUAGGAAAUGAUGUAAAAGAAGUAUUAAGUAAUUGCUUCUAUGUGUUUUACUUCAAAUUAACAUGAAAUAAGUGUUUCAGUCCUUAAGCAUGUAGUUGGGAAAAGGGAGAAGCCAGGCUGGAGGCACAAAUUUGCUGCAGAUGCUCUGUAUCCAGGCAGCAGAAAUGGCUCUAAUGGCAUUCAGUCCAAGAGCAGCAACAUCUCAAAAGGAAAAAUCUGUAAAUAAUCAUGAGUCAAAUAGCCUUCAUCAUCAUCCAGCAAAAAGGCUAAGGCUUCAUGAAGGGCAUUUUGAUGGUUUUAUAUUGUCAGGAAGAUACAUAAACAGGAAAAAAUUUUGAAAUUAAUGUUCAGGAUGAUUUUUCUGGAUUCUUAUUCUCUUGACAUAGUUAACAUUUCACAACUAAAUCUUAAAUGUUUUUACAACUUUUUAAGUGCAUUUUCAUAAGCUGAGGCUGCAGAAAUCUCCAAUUUGUGGACAGUUUACACUUGACCCUUUGUUUACAAUUAUAUCCACAGCAUCCCUAAAUUGGGAGAAACUGGCUCUUUAAAGUUGGCCAUUUUGCCUCACUACUAUUAUCUAAGCCUAGUGUACAGGUUGUUUUGCUCUUUGGCUUUGUUCCUGAACUGAGACUCAAGUGAAGAGAAGAGAACUGAGUAGAAGUGUUGGUACAAAGCCAGCAACUGGGCUCAAAACAUGGACAGGCCACAUUAAUUUUUUUGAAAGGUUAUUGAGCCCACCUCAGUCAGGAACACUGAAUAUUGGGUUUAAAUAAAACAGUAAUGUUACUCAUUCUAUAUGCUUGCAAUAAAUAUUUUAACCAUGUGAACAAGAAUGUAGCUGGGUUUGUUGCAAGGCAGAGUAAUAUGGUUAUUACUGUGUUCUUGAUUGUUAACACCACUGGAGAACACAAAUAGGAAUAACUCAAAGCAAUUUAACUUUGAAGUGAGAUUUUAUGUAACUGUAUAUGUGAAAUAGCUGAUAAUCCUCAGAAUUUACUUCAAAUGAAUGAUGAAAAUACCUGUAAAAACUUAGUGCUAGGAUCUCCAUUUUUCUCAUGUCCAGUGAUCUCACCUUACAAACCAGGCUUGAAGAGAAACAAAAAAUAAUUCUCCAGAUCAUGAGGCUUAAUCUCUUCAGUUGAUGUAAUGGAACAGGUAUGACUGCAUUUCACAGAGUGUCUCACCUCCUCCACCUUCCCUUUUGAGUUCAUAAGGACAAUUGAGAUGGCAGUGAAGCUGUGAUUAAGAUUAUUAGAUUAUAUUGGAUUUGGAAAUAACUAACAGUAGAAGUUUCAUAGUAUAAGGGUUACAAACUCUCCUUGAAGGUAAGAUUUAUCAUGAAAACUCAUGAUGAAAGCCUGAAGAAUGAACAGGUUCAAAAUACAAAUCUUGAAACUUAGGAAUUAUUCUUGGCUGCUAAAAUAAUACAAACCUUGAGCAGAAGUCUAUUGUUGCCAACUCUUUUCUCUUAGCAAGUCUAAACCAGGAUGCAUCUCAAACCUACAACAAACAGUAUUUUAUUUUUGCCUUAUUUCUAGAUACCAGUUUAACAUAGUUGUGCUGCCCCAUUUAUUAGCUUUGAGAACUGUGUGUCUUGCUUUGAAAAUUAACUUACAUGGACAGUUUGUCUUCCUUCAAAUGUUUUUUAACUGUACGCUAAGAAGCAUUGAGACCAGCAUUCAUACAGCUUGUUCUCAGACUGUUUUUUUUUCUGAUGUCAUCCUAAAUGGUGAUUCUUUUCUUUCUUAAACUGAAUUUUGCUUUGUUUUUCUUUAUAAAAAUGAAGAGUAGGUAACAUGAGUCCCUCUUGCCUUUUGCUACUAGAAUCUGGCAUCAGGAGCAAUUGUUGCUAUGUCUGAUGUUCAUCCAUGGAUUUUCUGGGAUGAAAGGUGUAAGAUUCCAAUGUUUAUUAUUUAAUUACACAGUAUAAGCAAAUUUACUGCAUCUCCUUCCUGUUCAGUGAACAUCUAACCAUGAUGUUUUAUAUUCCUUACCCUUCUGGAAUGUCAAUCCAAAAACAAGUUAUGGAAAGAGAAGAGUACUUUGAAAACACAUUUUGAGAUUACUUAAAAAUAAAUUCAACCUCCUCAAACCAGAUGUGUUCAUUAUACUUAAAAAAAAAAUUGCUUGUAGUCAUUUUGUUUUACCAUUCAUUAAUUAGUACUCUUGCCUUAUUUAGUCCCUGAAGGUAGUUUUAUAUGCUAACGUUUGUUUUGCCUUUCUAGCUGCUAAGGUAGAUAAUGAUUAUUGCAAAGUGCGCAUUUUUAAAUGGCCUCCAGUGUGGACUGCUUGAGCCAGUGAUAGAGUGAGUACUUUGAGGAAGAAUGUGUCAUUUGGAAUCCAGGACCAUUCAGCAAGGAUAACUGCCUGAUCUAUGGUCAGAACACUCACUCUUACAGCUUAUCAGUGGCUAUCUCUUCUAUUCCCCUAAACAAGUUUGGUUAGCCUCAAAGGUCCCCUAAUCCAGCUACUCUCAUUUCUGUCCCCAAAGUAGUGACCCUGUUCUUUGACUUUUGGGUGUCCCAAGAGUGUUGAAGUAUCAGUAUGUGAGUACAGCAAACCUGCUUAAUGAUUAUAGGGAGCAAAAAGAAAUUUUGUUAGCUAAACUACAUGAAGUGUAGAAAGUUUUGGACCUCUAUAAUUUUGCAAAGCAUGGAGCCAUUUCCUGGUUGUAAAUUUCACAUGAAUUAUUCAAUAUUUUCCUCCUAAGUUAAUUUCAGUGCUAAUUUCCUAUAAGAAAGAAUUGAAUGGAAUAAGCUUAUAUUUAAAUUGAAACUAAAUUUAAACUUGUACUGAUAAUCAGAGUUCACUUCUCUUCUGAUAUAAGUGGUAUAUAAAUAAAAUAUCCAUUUAAAAUUUGACCAACAAAUUAGAAAUUGAGAACAAUUCACUAUUUUAUUCCCUUUGAAUUGUUUAACACUCCAGAAUAAAUCAAGAAUGCGUACUUACUUAAUUGGUCAACUAUGGUUGGUCUUCAUGGGAAUUACAUCUUCACUCAACAUUUAUUAAGGAAUAAAAAACCUUUAGGCUAUAACAAACCUUUAAGUUGACUAAAAGCUGAAUCUCAUUAAGGAACAGAACAUGUAAUUCAUUUCCACAUCCUUUGAGGUAUGACUCGUCCCUGUUAAAGUUGUGAGACUCAAAACUACGCCCAAAUCACUUAAUUUUAUGUCCUUCCCUGUUUACUGUGUCUGACCUUCAAGAUUUCGUGACUGAUGCUGAAAUGGAAACCAUCCAGUGCAGAAAUAUGGGGGAAAAUGAAUCUGAAGAAUGCAAAGGGAAGUAGGAAUUCAUUUCUAGCAUUCCCAGACCUGCUUUGUCACGUCAACUCAACUGCAGUCAGAGGAAAAGAACUGAAUUCAUGGAAAUUACCAACUAAGCCUUACAUCUGUCUUUAAUGUUUUUAGGAAAUAAACUGAAAAGGUAAGUAAGAUGUCUGUUUUGAGAAAGGCUCUAUUAAGUACUUUAAGACCAAUUUGUAUUAAUAAAGGUGGACAGCUGCUUUACUGUGAGCUUCAAAAAGUCUUGCCCCCCAUUUGGUGUGGAGGUGGAGUUCCAAGAAACAUGGAGCUUUUCUUCUUAGCAUUUAAUCUAGAACUUACAUUGAAAUAUACAGAGUGCCAAUUAUUUUGUUCUCAAAUCCUUUCUGUAAAAAUUACUUCAGUUGAAUUUUAAUUUUAUCCCUCACUGUGUACAGCAAAACUUUUUAAAUAGUGCAGAGCUCCUACCAGAACUAGAUUUUUAUUAUAUAUAAUCAGAUAAGAGUAAAACUUGGGGUUUUUAUAGGUCUCUAUUAACAUCCACCUAUAUUGGUUUUAUAGAUAAAAUUUUUAAUUACUAGGAUUAAAUUGCUCCACAUUUAUUACACACCUUUGUAAUAGGCAUUGUAUCAGCCCUGGAAUUCAGAGAUGAACCAGCAUACAGUUCAAGUCCUCAAGGAGUUUUUUGGGUUUUUUUGAUAAAAUGCAUAUUGAAUUCUAGUACAGGGAAUCCAAAUUAAUGAAAUGAUGCUAAUACCAGUUCCCCAUCAACAGUCCCUUCUAACUAGCAUGUUAAUCUGAAUAUGACAAAUUGUUUGAAAGAUCCUGCAUAUGUGUGUGCUUGUAUGUGUGUGAGACAUUCACAAAACACUUCUUGUGUGCCAGGUACUAUUAUAAGCUCUAUACAUAAUACAUGUUUUUUAAAUCCUCAUAACUAUCCUGUGGGGUAAUUACUAUUAUUAAAGCCCAUUUUCUAAGGUAUUAAGCCAGGGAAUUUAAUUGACUUGCCCAAGUUUGCUAAACAGUGGUCUAAGACUACUAUUUGAACCCAGACAGGCUGAUUGCAGAGCCUGCACUUAAUUUGGGUAUGAUAGAUAUUGAGUACCCAUUAGACAGUGCAAAUCCUUAGUGAAAUUUGCCUGGUUUUUAAAAAGUUCCAAUAACAGACUAGAGAUGAAAUAAUAGUCAAACCCUGAAUAUAACCAGAAAUUCCCUUCAACUCCUGUCAUUUUGCAUAAUGGCUUCCCUCCCACCUCUUCCCCCUGAACAACCCUCCAACAGAAUGCAUGCGCACAUACAAAAUUUAAAGAACUAGAACACAGAAACAGCUCAUCAUGACUAUGUUUUAUAUUCUGUAUUUUCCAUUGGGUCUACCUCUUUCUUUUUGGAAUAUGAACAUUUUCUUUAGCUGCUAAAUCAUGAGAAAUUGUGACUGCUGACACUUUACCUAGGAUUCUUAAAAAAAAAAAUGGUUCUGUGCAGGAGUACAGGGAAACCUCUGAGACACUCAGGUAGGUAAUUUACUUCCUGUUGUAUGCAUAGUUUAUUUGAAACUUUUUGCAUCUCUGUUCCCAGUUUUAUACUCCUGUAAAUCUGACUUGACCUUUAAUAAACUGUUUUCUGAAGUGA